UCUCUUACAAUGCUCUAUCACUGACUUUCAAAACUGAAACAAACCCUAAUUCUCGUUGCCUUCCUUUCUCUCCAUUGCCUAUGUUCUUUCACCUUCUAUCACUCCUUUUCUUUAAAAUCAUCAAUUUUUGUUAUUUUUCCGAUACUAUAUGUUCAUAUUUGUUUUGUAGUUGUCAGAUCUGCUCAUGCUGGCAUUCGAGGAUCCAUUCCAUGGAAGCUUUAUGCUGAUUUUUGUAAUCAGCAAUUUCUUUGUAGCGAUAUCUUGGACGAGCGAUUAAUAAACUCAAUAACAGAGACAGAUCACCUCACACUUAUUGAAGAAGAAUGGUAUACAUGCAUCUCAUACUCUCGUAUAAUUGAAAUAAGCAGCUUAUUGAAGAAGAAUGCCAGAAACAUCUUUUUCAGAUAGGUGCUUCAGUUUGGAGGGUUAGGUUUGAUAAACGUCUUCUUGCUUAUGGCCUUUUCUUAGGUAAAGUUGCCAUCGAAUGCGGUGUUGGUAUGUUAAGUUUGGAGGGUUGGGUUUGAUGAACGUCUUCUUGCUGAUGGUCUUUUCUUAAGUAAAGUUGCCAUCGAAUGCGGUGUUGGUAUGUUAAGUUCUUUCAUAUGGUAGUGCUCGUGAUAUGGGCAGCGAAGCUUCACUCGAGUUUAUAGAGCUCUAGAGUCGAAAUCACUCAAGCACACAAGUUGUUUCAUUGGACUUGGAUAGUUACGCUGGAGAUUCUGAUGAAGAUAAUGACCAACGUGUCUUCAAAAUCAAGGGAACAACAACUUAUCACCAAACAGAAACCAUGUAGUUGUCGGGGAGCUUAUUGAAUCAAGAUCUUCUCAACAAACACACAUGAACACAACAAAGUCAGCGCUUAAUAUAAGGAAGGACAGAAAAACACAGGAGGUUAUAUAACCGUGCUUUGACUAUCAUCGAAGACCUUCUCAUUCCUGGCUUUCCAUAGGUGGGACAAGUACAGGUUCAUUGAUCAGCGGUGGUGAUGCUAGAUUGGGUUAGCAAGUUUUUGGAAGCAAUUCUGACCAUCGGUUCAAUGAUGGCGACGACGGUGUAUUUUGGUCGGGAGAUACAAUGAUGGUGUGAAGACCGACAGUGGCGGCUAAGGCUUCAGGUUAGGGAGGCAGAGUUCAAAUGCCCCACCCAAAUGUAACGACUAUGGUGGCUGCCGGUGACAAUCCCCCUCGCUAUCAUUGAUGUUGUAGCUGACGAGAUGAAACUUCUUGAGUAUGUUGUGCAGGAACUUCCUGUCUUCAGCAACAAGUCAAACAAUUACACCGGAGGAAGAUGAGCUCUUGAAACGGAACACCGAUUGCAUUUACUUCCUUUCCUCCCCCUUAUCCUGCGAAGCAAUGUGUUCGUCGAACAGGAGGACCAUCAUGACUGAUUUUAGAAGAUAUAGCAUAAAUCGUCACUGGGGGCGAUCCAACACAAUAGAGGUCCGUGUUAUAAGAAAGAGGGUACCAAAAUAGUGACCUCUAAUAUACUUCAUGAUGGACAAAUA